rnacentral:rRNA from 1 species
UACGAAGGGUGCAAGCGUUACUCGGAAUUACUGGGCGUAAAGCGUGCGUAGGUGGUGAGUUAAGUCUGCUGUGAAAUCCCCGGGCUCAACCUGGGAAUGGCAGUGGAUACUGGCAAGCUAGAGUGCGGUAGAGGGUAGUGGAAUUCCCGGUGUAGCAGUGAAAUGCGUAGAGAUCGGGAGGAACACCAGUGGCGAAGGCGGCUACCUGGACCAGCACUGACACUGAAGCACGAAAGCGUGGGGAGCAAACAGG